AGUGAACGCUGGCGGUAGGCCUAACACAUGCAAGUCGAACGGCAGCACAGGAGAGCUUGCUCUCUGGGUGGCGAGUGGCGGACGGGUGAGGAAUACAUCGGAAUCUACUCUGUCGUGGGGGAUAACGUAGGGAAACUUACGCUAAUACCGCAUACGACCUACGGGUGAAAGCAGGGGACCUUCGGACCUUGCGCGAUUGAAUGAGCCGAUGUCGGAUUAGCUAGUUGGCGGGGUAAAGGCCCACCAAGGCGACGAUCCGUAGCUGGUCUGAGAGGUUGAUCAGCCACACUGGAACUGAGACACGGUCCAGACUCCUACGGGAGGCAGCAGUGGGGAAUAUUGGACAAUGGGCGCAAGCCUGAUCCAGCCAUACCGCGUGGGUGAAGAAGGCCUUCGGGUUGUAAAGCCCUUUUGUUGGGAAAGAAAUCCAGCUGGCUAAUACCCGGUUGGGAUGACGGUACCCAAAGAAUAAGCACCGGCUAACUUCGUGCCAGCAGCAGCCGCAG
rnacentral:rRNA from 1 species